GACGAACGCUGGCGGCGUGCUUAACACAUGCAAGUCGAACGGAAAGGCCCUGCUUUUGUGGGGUGCUCGAGGGGCGAAAGGGUGAGUAACACGUGAGUAACCUGCCCUUGACUUUGGGAUAACUUCAGGAAACUGGGGCUACUACCGGAUAGGAGCUCCUGCUGCAUGGUGGGGGUGGGAAAGUUUCGGCGGUUGGGGAUGGACGCGCGGCUGAUCAGCUAGUUGGUGGGGUAGUGGUUUACCAAGGCUGUGACGGGUAGCCGGCCUGAGAGGGUGAACGGCGACAUUACGACUGAGGGACGGCGCAGUGUCGUAUGGUAGACAGUAGGCGCAAGUCUUGCCCAAUGGGACGAAGUCGGUUACAGAGGCGUUGGGGUCGUGAUGACGGCCUGUUGGUAAAAAAACGCUGCCGCCUGUGACGAAGCUGGUGUGACGGUACUGGGUAAAGAAGCACCGGCUAACUACGUG
rnacentral:rRNA from 1 species